UACGUAGGGUGCAAGCGUUGUCCGGAAUUAUUGGGCGUAAAGAGCUCGUAGGCGGUCAGUCGCGUCUGCUGUGAAAAACUCGGGGCUUAACUCCGGGCCUGCAGUGGGUACGGGCUGACUAGAGUGCGGUAGGGGGAGACUGGAAUUCCUGGUGUAGCGGUGAAAUGCGCAGAUAUCAGGAGGAACACCAGUGGCGAAGGCGGCUCACUGGCCCGAUACUGACGCUGAGGCACGAAAAGCGUGGGGGAGCAAAACAGG
rnacentral:rRNA from 1 species